rnacentral:rRNA from 2 species
AUUCCCCUAGUAACGGCGAGUGAAGCGGGAACAGCUCAAAUUUGAAAUCUGGCCCUUGGGUCCGAGUUGUAAUUUGCAGAGGAUGCUUUUGGUGCGGUGCCUUCCGAGUUCCCUGGAACGGGACGCCUUAGAGGGUGAGAGCCCCGUACGGUUGGCCACCAAGCCUGUGUAAAGCUCCUUCGACGAGUCGAGUAGUUUGGGAAUGCUGCUCAAAAUGGGAGGUAUAUUUCUUCUAAAGCUAAAUACUGGCCAGAGACCGAUAGCGCACAAGUAGAGUGAUCGAAAGAUGAAAAGCACUUUGAAAAGAGGGUUAAAUAGCACGUGAAAUUGUUGAAAGGGAAGGAUUUAUGACCAGACUUUUUCUGGGGGGAUCAUCCGGUGUUCUCACCGGUGCACUUCCCCCAGUUGAGGCCAGCAUCGGUUUCUGCCGGGGGAUAAAAGCUUUGGGAAUGUGGCUCCUUCGGGAGUGUUAUAGCCCGUUGCAUAAUACCCUGGCGGGGACCGAGGUUCGCGCAUUGCAAGGAUGCUGGCGUAAUGGUUAUUAAUCACCCGUCU